GAGCUUACGGCGGAUACCUUGGCAUGCAAAAGCAAUGAAGGGCGUGGUUACCAGCGAAAUUUUUCGGGGAGCUGGAAACUAGCUUUGAUCCGGAAGGUCCCGAAUAAGGAAACUUUAAACUUUAUAUACUACUUGUUGAAUAUAUAGACAGGAAAAAGCAAACUUGAUGAACUGAAACAUCUUAGUAACCAAAGGAAAAGAAAGCAAAAGCGAUUCCCUAAGUAGCGGCGAGCGAAAUGGGAACAGCCUAAACCAUAGAACAUGUUUUAUGGGGUCGUGGGAAAGCAGUUACAAGACUAAUUAUAGUUAAACGAAAUAGUUGGAAUUCUAUAUCAUAGAAAGUGAUAAUCCUAUAGUUAAAAACUGAAGUUACUUAUGCUUGAUCCCGAGUAGCAUGGGACACGUUAAAUCUCGCGUAAAUCAGCGAUGACCACCUCGUAAGGCUAAAUAUUCCUGGAUAAUCGAUAGUACAACAGUACCGUGAGGGAAAGGUGAAAAGAACUCCGGAAGGAGAGUGAAAUAGAACAUGAAACCGUAAACUUACAAGCAGUAGUAAGACGACUCAACGUCUGACUGCGUGCAUAUUGAAGAAUGAGCCGGCGACUUGUAUGCAGUGGCAGGUUAAGGUAAAGAAUCCUGAAGCCAGAGUGAAAGCGAGCUUGAUAAGAGCGUUUGUCACUGUUUACAAACCCGAACCCAGAUGAUCUAGUCAUGGCCAGGGUGAAGCUUAGGUAAUAAUAAGUGAAGGUUAGAACCGACUCAUGUUGAAAAAUUAGCGGAUGAGCUGUGAUUAGAGGUGAAAUGCCAAUCGAAUUCGGAGCUAGCUGGUUCUCACCGAAAUGCGUUGAGGCGCAACGGUUAAUGCUUAAACUUAGAAAUAAAGCACUGUUUCGGUGCGGGCUUUGAAAACGGUACCAAAUCGAGGCAAACUCUGAAUACUAAGUGUGCAGUUAACCAGUGGGACAGUGGGGGAUAAGCUUCAUUGUCAAAAGGGAAACAGCCCAGACCACCAGCUAAGGCCCCUAAAUAUUUACUCAGUAGUAAAGGAAGUGGAAAUGCAUAAAUAGCCAGGAAGUUUGCUUAGAAGCAGCAAUCCUUUAAAGAGUCCGUAAUAGCUCACUGAUCAAGUGAUUCUGCGCCGAAAAUGAAUAAGACUAAGUACUUUGUCGAAGCUGUAGGAUGUUUUACAUCGGUAGGGAGCGUUCUGUUAUAGACUGAAGCGUUAGUGCAAACGAACAUGAACAAAGCAGAAGUGAGAAUGCCGGCUUAAGUGGCGAAAACAUUGGUGGGAAUCCAAUGCCCCGAAAACCUAAGGGUUCCUCUGGAAGGUUCGUCCAAGGAAGGUGAGUCAGGACCUAAAGCGAGGCUGAAAAGCAUAAUUGAUGGACAAUAAAUUAAUAUUUCUGUACUAUUUAUUGUUGAUAACAAGAGACAAAUAAGGCUAAAUCAACCAAAUGUUAUUUACCGGUUCAAAUUAUCAAAGCUAUGACGAAUGGAGAAAACAUUUGGAGCAAAGAAGUGAAUACAAGGUACCAAAGUACUGAAAUAAUCGAUGUCAUACUUCCUAGAAAAGCUUGAUAUAUCUUAAACAGUAAAUACCUGUACCCUAAGACAGGUAGGUAAGCAGAGUAUACUAAGGGGCGCGAGAUAACUCUCUCUAAGGAACUCGGCAAAAUAGCCCCGUAACUUCGGAAGAAGGGGUACCCUUGUAGGGUUGUAAUAACCAGGCCCAAGCGACUGUUUAUCAAAAACACAGGUCUCCGCUAAAUCGCAAGAUAAUGUAUGGGGCUGACGCCUGCCCAGUGACGGAAGGUUAAGGAAGUUAGUCAUUCUUACGAUGAAGCUAGCAACCGAAACCCCGGUGAACAGAGGCCAUAACUAUAACCAUCUUAAGGUAGCGAAAUUCCUUGUCGGAUAAGUUCCGACCCGCACGAAAGGCGUAACGAUUUAAGUACUGUCUCGGAGAGAGACUCAGCGAAAUAGACUUGUCUGUGAAGAUGCGGAAUACCUGCACCUGGACAGAAAGACCCUAUAAAGCUUUACUGUAUCUUGGAAUUGAACUUGGGUUUUAUUUGCGCAGUAUAAGUGGGAGGCUAUGAUAAUCAACUUGCGGGUUGUUCUGAGCCAAAAGUGAGAUAUCGCUCUGGUAAAACUAGAGUUCUAACUUUGUAAGCCGUUAUCCGGCUAAGGAACAGUUUCAGGUGGGCAGUUUGACUGGGGCGGUCGCCUCCUAAAAAGUAACGGAGGCGUGCAAAGGUUCCCUCAGGCUGGUCGGAAAUCAGUCGUAGAGUAUAAAGGCAUAAGGGAGCUUGACUGCAAGACCUACAAGUCAAGCAGAGACGAAAGUCGGCCUUAAUGAUCCGACAGUUCCGAGUGAAAGGGCUGUUCGCUCAUAAAAGCGGUACGCGAGAUGGGUUCAGAACGUCAUAAGACAGUUCGGUCCAUAUCUGGUGCAGGCGUUAGAGUAUUGAGAGGAGCUCUCCUUAGUACGAGAAGACAGGGAAAGACAUACUUUUGGUGUACCAGUUACUGUGCCAACAGUAAACGCUGGGUAGCUAAGUAUGGAAAGGAUAACCGCUGAAAGCAUCUAAGUAGGAAACCCACCUCAAGAUAAGUACUCUCACCGCUUGAAACGGUUAAGGUCACGGCAAGAUUAACCGUUUGAUAAGUAUUAAGAGCAAGUACAGUAAUAUACUCAGCUAAAAUAUACUAAUAGACUGAGGACUUAUA
rnacentral:rRNA from 1 species